rnacentral:lncRNA from 1 species
CCCAGCACUUUGGGAGGCCGAGGUGGGCGGAUCCCUUGACGUCAGGAGUUUGAGACCACUCUGGCCAACAUGGUGAAACCCUGUCUCUACUAAAAAUAUAAAAUUUAGCUGGGCGUGGUGGUGCGUGCCUGUAAUCCCAGCUACUCCAGAAGCUGAGGCAAGAGAAUCGCUUGAACCCAGGAGGCGGAGGUUGCAGUGAGCCAAGAUCACACCACUGCACUCCAGCCUGGGUGAGCGACAGAGGGAGACUCGGAGUUGCAAAGACAGAAAAAAGAAAAUGGAAACCAAAAUGAGCCUUGAAAAAUUAGUAAGACUGGAUUAAAAAGGAGAGAAGACAGCAUGCAAGGGAAAAGUACUUAAGCUGACUGGAUGACAAGAGGACUUCAUGACGAAAGAAGAAGUUGCUUUCAAGGUGGAGAAUUCCCAAAUCACUAAACUGCCUAUUACAAUACUAUCCUGAGACAGGGAAGUGAAAGGUCUUGGUCCUGGAAGAGCCCUGCCACGCCCCCUGUGAAGUCACUGGCCCAAAGGUGGGCCAGGAAACACAUUUCCACUCCUUUACACAGUGAGUUGCCCCAGAAAUGUGAGUGUGAAGCCAUGUUGGUUCUAUCAGCCCCAGCUGAGGUCUCAGAUGAAAGCAGCCACCUGAGUGAUCCCAGAUGACAACACAUGGCGAAGAAGGACUGCCCAGCUAAACCCGCCUGCCACACAGAAUUGUGAGAAAUGAUAAAUUGUUAAGUCAUUAAAUUUUGGGGUUGUUUGUCAUGCAGCAAUACGUAAUUGAAACACAGUUAUAAUACUGAAGGCAAUGAGUUAGACUCUGUGGAAAAGGUAAUACUAAAUAGAAGAGAUGCUGAUAACAAGGAGCACACGAUUUACCUUUACUAUAUUGAUUCUCUCAUAGUUCUAGAAGUCAGAAGUCUGAAAUCAGUAUCAAGGGUAUCAAAAUCAAAGUGUCAGCAAGGUACCUCUAGAGACUCUACAGCAGAAUCCCAUCUUGAUCUCUUCCACCUGCUGGUGGCUGUCAGUAUUUCUUGGCUUAUAGCUGCGUAUUAGUCCGUUUUCAUGCUGCUAUGAAGAAAUACCCGAGACUGAAUAAUUUGUAAAGAAAAGAGGUUUAAUUGACUCACAGUUCUGCAUGGCUGGGGAGGCCUCAGGAAAUUUACAAUCAUGGUGGAAGACACCUCUUCACAGGGCAGCAGGAGAGAGAAUAAGAGCCAAGCAAAGGGAGAAAAGCCCCUUAUAAAACCAUCACCCCCCAUGAUUCAAUUACCUCCCACCAGUUCCGUCCUACGAUGCAUGGGGAUUAAGGGAACUACAAUUCAAGAUGAGAUUUGGAUGGGGUCACAGCCAAAUCAUAUCAAGCCAAACCAUAUCAAACCAUAUCUAUAUUACUCCAAUCUCUGUCACUGUGGUCAUACUCUUUUCUUCUGUCUCCCAAAUCUCCCUCUGCCUCCUUUGUAUAGGCAAUUUCAUUAGGGCCCACCCAGCUAAGCCAAGAUAAUCAUCACCCCAACUCAAGAUUCUUAAUCACAUCUACAAAGAUCCCCUUUCCCUUACAAGAUAGCAUUUAUAGAUUCUGGGAAUUAGGAUCUGAGAUCUUUGAAGGGCCAUUAAUCUGCCUGUCACAAAUGCUAAAACACAAGAGUUAAGGCACUGCAAAAACUGAUUAUAGGAAUUGGAGUUAUUCCUGUCAUAUCCAAGCAAAUCAGAGUCAAGGAACCCAGGGAAAAAGCACUCAGGACACAAAGUGCCAGCUCCAGGAACUGUCUCACAAGCCCAGCUGCUGAAAUAACCUCCCAUAGCCUUAAGACUAGUUUUACCUAGUAGCUGCUGAAACGACCUGUAAUUUAAUGAACUUUGUUUCAAAACAUUUUAUGUAAUAUUUCUCUUUCCCAGUAAAAUCCCAACAUUUCCUUUGUACUUUGGACAUACCAAAAACCACUCUGGUCUUUGCAUAUAUCCCAAUUUACAAUUCUGUUUUUAUAUAUAUAUAUUCCUAAAUAAAACUUUC